CUGAUAAAGGCUUUCAAGUCAGAGCUGCUGCUUGGUCUGUGUCUGUGGGAGCAGUCAACCUCUUCCCCUGCGUGGGAUGACUGGGGGCAAUAUGAGUGUCACACAUUGCCUGCACUCACAGCCCUGUUCUCAUCAGGUACAUUUUGUGUCAUCAAGACCAGAAGCUUCAGGAAUAAGGAGAUGUUAUUCUCAACUGACACACGGUGGAUUUGAGUGUUGGGAGACCGUCACCAGGAUCUCUUUCUGAAUCAUCUGGAAACCUCUACCUACAGCUCUGCACAGAAAGAACAUUUUGUAGAGUUGUCACAACUCACAGAGCCUUAUCCAAUCCAGAUGUGCUGGUAGGUGCACAGAAGUGUUUCAGUCUAUGACUGAUGUCCCAGACAUGGCAUUUGCAUGAGAUACCAACCCUGCAGAGGGCUAUGGAGGCUGCUCUACAUGUGCAGUAAGCUACAUCUUGUAUGUACAGCUUGACUAGAGGAGGAAGCACUAAAUUCUGGGAUUUUGAUCCAGUUUGUUUGGAGUCUCACCUUUCUACAGCUUCUCUGAGCAACUCCAAAGCCAUCACAGACACAGUUUUCUUUUAACUGUGAGUCCUGCUGCUUCCCAGACUCGGGUUCUCCAGAUCACUCUUCAGUAUCUCUGAGCAACCGAGACCCCACAUCAGUCCUGGGUGUGACUCUGCCCUUCAAGGAAGAGGGAAGACAGACAUGAAUAUGAAGACAGAAGGAUCUAACAGAGAUACUGAAGCCUUUGGGUCAGAUAAUGAAACUGAACUGGAGGAGAAUGGAUCUGCAGAAAUGUAGCCUUUGUUCUCAGCCAUUUUUGGACGUUUGGUCUUUCAUUAACCCACAUCCAAUAACCCAGUACAGAACCAAGGUGGUUCUUGUGCAAAGUGCACUGGUGGAAGGUUUGUGCUUUAAGUGUAAAAUGAAAUUCUGGGGCUGAUCCUCAGACUCCUUUGCUGGGUUUACCUCCUGUAUUUCUCUCCUGUAGCACCAAGACUUUGCCUCUUCUUGUUCCCACACAUGCCAGCAUGUUCACACUCUUUGUACAUCCAGGGGUGAGCUGCAGCUUUAUGGCAAAACUUACAAAUCAAGAUGUUAGACUGCUUUAUCACAUUUAAGUAUUAAGUAUUAAAUAUUUUCUGUUAUGAUGAAAGGGCCUUUUGUGUUCAUGGUUAAAACUGUCAGGGCUCAUUUUUCUAGAUCUGUGCAUUUAAUCUAAGCCAACUAGUAUACUUAUUCCUGAUGGGUACACUAAACAGAUUUCAGUACCUGCCUUGUCCUUUCUGUUAUGUAUUAAAAUUCUUACUCCCCUUUUUCAUUGAUAGCACUGUAAAUGUGAUCUGAUGAAUCUGUUGUCAAGAAGCUGUCAUUCUUUUCAGUUUUAUAUUUCUCAAAUGAAAAAAUGUUGGAAAUGAGAUUAUGUACUCACAAACACAUGCUCUUUUUCCCACUGUGCUUCUUUAUAUUAAGGCUGACUUUGACCAACCGACCUCAAGUCAGCAGAAAUCUUGCAUGUGUUCAUAUUCAGGCUUCAAGAGUUUGUUGGGGUUUUUUUCGUAUUAUUCUACCCUUGCAUUCUCUUAAAUAUCUAACUUUCAAGGAGUCAACAAUAUAAAUUAAAAAAUUUCUAUCUGACUUGAUUUAGUAUCUGAUUUAAUGUUUUUAUCAUAGAGAACAGUGUCCAAUAUUAAAAAGAUAUAAAGAUUUUGUCAUCUUAACUCUUUCUGAACUUGAAAAAGAUGAUUCUAUAUAACCUUUGCUGCUGUAUUAUAUCCACUAUUUGCAGUAAGCAUUGCCAAGUUUUAACAGAGUUCUUUUAAUGAACAUUCUUUAACUUCAGAUACACAGCUAUCCUGAUGACAGUCAUGUCUUGUCUUUGCAGAAGCAUUAUGAACAUCACCACCAAUUGUGUUUAACUUCACUGGUUAUUUUCCUUCUGUGCUCAUGCUACUUGUUUGCAGUAGAGGCUAUGACUUACUUCCAACAAUAUCUUUCACUCAGAAAUACUGGCAUAAAUCAUGCUGUCAGAAUGGAAAACAAGUUAAAAAAGUAGCUGUAGGAAUUUGCUGCUUUGUGAAAAACGCUGGGAGAAAAGUAUAAAGUUUUAAGAGUUACUAACUUGUGAAGUGAGAAAAAGAUCAGAUCCAGGAAAUGUGUCACAGUGAAAUAUGUAGACGUAUGGAAGAAGGACUGGACAUUCUUCCCAGAUAAACUUUCUGGAUAUUAAUGGCCACAUUUUUAGCAUUACAUGAUUAUUCCAUCCAGAUUUGGGACAGAAUCCAAGGAUUUUGUUGCACUGAGGUAUGCAUUUAAGUGACAUCUUGACCUGAGGCCAAAAUUUCGGGUCUCCUUUUAGGUGGCUUUGUGCAGUCAGGGGAGUUGUGCUCGUGCUGAGAUUGCUUGCCCUCCAAAAUGUGCUGUCACCCAGCUGCAAAUGCUCCCAGAUCCUCAUCCAGGAGCUCCUCUCCAAAAUAUACUGUACAUUAUACUAGAUAAGGGAAAGAAUUUCAGGGAUUUUUUUCAAACGAUUAAAGAAGUUGCAUCAUUGGUAAUACAUCAUCUCUAACACAGUGCUCCCUGCCAAAGAAAAUCCCACACAAUCACAUAAAGGCAACAAGCAAAGCAGCAGACAUGAGCAAACCCAGGAUUCCUGAAUCCCUGUGUUAGAAUGCUACUGUUGCCUAAAACAUAUACUUCACAUGAAAGACCCAGUACACUGAUCUACGCAUAAUUUAGACAUCUAAGCUGCUUGGCUACAAAUCCCCAAGGUUAGGCGGUGCAGGCUGCCAGGGCAGGAAAAAAAACAACAGGCACAAAAAGCAGACCCUUAGCCUGUGAUGUACUCAAUUCAAGGAUAGAAAGGGAAUGUGGGAAACAUCUUUUAAAUUUUAUUUUUGUCUAUAUGGGAAGUGAUACAAGUUUAUUUACUAAAAGAGUGUGAUACAAGAGAAAGGCACUUUCAGAGGUUUCAUGUGGUGCUGUAUGUUUAAUAACCCUUUUUAGAAUCCAUAUCCAAAUCCAUCACGGUCACUGUGGGUAAAACUUAUCUGAUGGUUGGACAUUUAGAUCUUCCAGUAAGUGGGAGCCCACAGUCAAACUCCCUCCUCAGCAGGAAGAAGGCAAAAUUUCAUCCUGCAGCCUCUCACAACAGCUGGGGUGUUGGCAGAUGUGCACCUUCUUACAUGCUGGGGCCAUACUACUGGGAAGGAGGGCACUUCUCCAUGCGCUGCACAGAGCAACUCUUUGGUCUUGUCUUUUUGGCGUUCAGCCCUAAGGCUCUCUACUCCUGAAAGAAUACUGUACUUACUUUCCUUCGGCACAGCACUACUAAGGAAUAGGUCUGGGAGAAUGACUAGAGAUACCAAGGCUGUCCUGAUCAACAUGGCCUAUGCAGCACAUAAUGAAGUGCUCUCUGCCCUGUGUUGCAGCUCCCACAGGAGGUAGAUGGAAGGCCCACGUAAACAUGUAGGCACACUGGUGUCUCUACCCUCCAAGGUAGACUAUAAGCCUCAAAAGGACUUUCAGAGGGGAUGUAGCUGAGCCCAAAGCUACAACUCAUGAAGAAAUACAUACCUUUGUUAUUCUGAUGGAUGUUGGUUUGGCAUAGCCUUAAAAUUCCCACAGUAAGAUAUAUUCUGCAGCCUCCCCAAGUAAUCCAGUACAGGACUUCAUUGCCUUACUGACAGAAACAUAUUCCCUUCUCUAACCAAAACCUUGUGGUAGUUUAAGCCCAUUGCUUCUUGUCCUGACCAUUAUGGACAAAAAGAAUGAAUUAUUCCCUCCUGGCUUACAGCAGCCUUAUUUAAUCUUUGAUACUUGUCAUAUUCUAGUCUCAAGUUUUCCUCCUUCAGAUUAACUCCUUCUCCUUCAGUCUUCUUUCCCUGUCCUGUUUUCCAGACCUCCUUCAAUCUCCAGAUGCACAGGUUCUGGUUGAUUCAUGUCUGUCUCAACGCAUUGCACCACUAUCAGUUCCACAGAGUCCUUGGACAAAGCUGAGAGGAGCAGAAAGUGUACUUAGUCUGGCAGUAAACUUGAUAAAGGUAGUCCAGUGAUGCUGAUCACUGUUCAUAUGUCAGUACAGCACUGGAUUGUCACAACUGAGUGCCAUAACUCUCAAGGAGCCUACACUCUACUAUGGCCUAAGGUCCUUUGCUGCAUGAGACCUAUCAAGCUAGUUGUUUUCCAGUUGUGUUUCAGCUGUUGUUUGACCUUAUCAUGAAAAACACACAGAACACAUAUUACUUAUAAAGUCAAAAAGCUCCAGAGAUAACAUAUAUUUUGUGAUUUCAUUAAAAAAAUAUUAGUUCAAAUCUUUUUUCCUUUUAACUUUGCUUAUCUUCUCAAUUUAUUUGAAAAGCCUGGUGAAGAUGCUACCUAAGUUUUACAUACGUGAUCCCAAUUCACUAAGAUUCUUUCCGGCAGAGUAUUGAGUUCAUCAUAAAUCUGUGUCCAGUGCUCAGAUCAAGUGUGCAAAAUAUACUUCAAAUUGGGACAAGGAGGAGCUGUUUGAGAUUCAUUAGGAACAAUCAGUGGACCUUUUCUUUAGUACAAGUUAUGCUGAAAGGCAACAAAAUAAUACGAAUCUCAAAUUUGGAUGUUUUUUCCAUUAACAUGGGGCAGAAGCAGUCUUGCUACUUGUCAUUACUAUAUUGAACAGUACACUUCAUCAGAAGGAUCUGCCAUAACUAGAACAAGAAUCAUGGACCCUCUUUUUUUACUGGCAGCAAAAAGAUCUUGUGUAUUUUUCUCUUGAAAAAAAAAAUGAAAGAAAAUCUAAAUUCAGAUUUUUUAUUUUGUUUACUUUUGUAUUUUAUGUUCAAGCAAUUUGAAAAUCAUUUUCCCACACUUUCUAUUCUGCUCCAGCUAAUCAAGUAAUCACUGUCCAUUAUUCCAAAACUUAAAACUAAACUUCCAUAAGAAAUCAAUGCAUCAUUUCAUUACCUUGAAUUACUAAAAUGUUUCAAAAUUCUACUCUGUGACUUAAUCACUUUCAAAUGCUUCUUCAAGAAAUUACUGAAAACAUGUUGCAGUUUUAUGAAGACAAGUAGAUAGUGAGAAAUAAGAAAUGCACAGAAUGUUUCAGUUAUAAUACAAAGAGAACUCAUUUAAUCCUGAAAUAAAGUUCUUCAUGACCAAGAAAUGUGCUUUUAUUAUUGCAUCUCAGUUUGCAUUCAGAAGUAUCAGUUAUAAAUAUACAGAUCUGAUUCAAGCACUAUCAGAGUUUAUUCAAUCGCUCAGAUGUUCAUUUAUAGUAUGCAAAUUACAAAAUAUUCAUUUUGCAAAAUGCAUUUAAAAUAAUUCUUAACCUUUGUAGUUAUCAAAAUUCCUACAUGAGUCUAUGCAUCCAAAUCUUUGACAAAUACUACCUUAGCAGAGGUAUUUCUGGUCUGUCUUUUAACUAAACUCACCUGAAUGUGCAGGUGUAUAGGACAUUCUCUUGAUGGUAACCAAGGCUGGUGCAUUGCUUUGUUCCAAAGUGUUGCGCAUUGGUUGUAUCGAAAAGAUUUAUGUACACUGUUUUCAGAGGGGUAUGCUUUGGGAUUACUGACGUCAGACUGCUACAAAAAAAACCCUUCAAAACUGAAGAGAUUUUAUGCACUUCAGUGCAUUUGAAUUUACUGAAAAGGCAUAAGCAUGAAGUGCAUAUGACACAAGGUCUAGAAAUCUCCCAUCCUGCUGCAUUUUGCCUUGAACCCAUGAAAUUACAGUUUUACAGCCAACAUAGCUUUAAACCAGACCUGGUUCAGAAUUUGGACCUGAAUGUGGCCUUCCAUAUUAAUGGAGAUUUGACACAUAUGUGUGCAAUCAUAAGCAACCCCCCUGAUAUCUCCUACAGCAAACCCUGUGGCAGCAUUAUUAUAACCGUACAUAGCUACAUAUAAGAUGUGGAAUCCAACCAGCAUCCAGAUUUGAGGAAUCAUCCAUAAAAGUUUCACAUAGCUAAAGUGAGCAGUCAACCCUCUCUUAAUAAAUUUAACGUUUUCACAGAUUCUCUGGUCAGUUUCACAGUAUAAAGUACUCUUUAAAGAGACAUGUACAUUUAUAUGCAUGUACACAGGUCACCUGGAAAACAUCCAAAACCUUUCCUUAGAGCAGUCAAACACAAAUUUCUAGAUGUAUUAAGCAAGAUCCUUGUGCUGUAAUAAUGAUAUUUCUUGCAGUGCUGCAGAUUUAUGUUGUGUAGCAGUGGGUUCAGCAGAAUUUCAAACCUGCAAAUAUGUCAUAAGAUAAGCAUGUCAGAGGCUGUGGGGAUGUCAGGUAAUUUGACUUGUACAUCUAUCUUUGUUCUGGCAUCUGCCCAUUUGUGACAUACACAGAUGAUAUAGCUUAGGGAGUACAGAAGACCUGACUGUUACUGGUACUUGUUAAAGUGAGAUAUAAAAUGGUAAAUAUUAUCUAUCUCCUUGAUUUAGAGAAGUCAGACCAUAUAUUUUUGGAAGGAUGAAACACUAUCUGAUGUGGUACAUGACAUUUGUAUCUGAUACAUGAUCAAAUCCAAACGUAAGUAAAAACACUACAAGUCUGCUUUACUCCAUUGCUUCUAACAAAAAGAUGCUUAACAGUGGUACAAGGAAAGAUAUGUUAGGAAAAAUGUCAGUCUGAAAAAGAACAUUCUGCAUUAGUCAACCUGUUAUCCUUUUCCCCUAUUGAUGAGUGUCAUCUUAGCUUUCAAGUCUUGCCAUAGUCCAGCAGAUAUGUCUAGUGUCUAUCAGCCCUAGAUGUUCAGAACCUGAAUCCUACCCUAAUUGCUUAUGAUACCCACCAGUUUGUAGUGACAGCCCUAUGGUUACAACAUGGUUGUGGUUGAAGACCUACCAUGACACAAGGAAGAGCUGGUGCUGCAGGACUGAUCCAUCUCAGUCUCUGGAGGAUAGUGAACACAGCCCAGCCUCCUGAUGGUCAUUGCUUUUACCACAGGGGUGUAAACACCUCAGGCAACA